rnacentral:ncRNA from 2 species
CCCGUUCAGCCCUCUCUCGGUGCUCGAUACCCCGGAUGGUCGAGCACAAUGGCGAAGCCGGUGAAAGUCCGGCGCUGUCGCGCAACUGUAAGCUGAGGCCGCUUCAAGCUGACCACCCGCCGAGCGGCGGGCCAUCAGGCACUCAGCAAGCCAGGUCGCCCGCCGAGUUGAGAGCCCAUCU